rnacentral:rRNA from 1 species
AGAGUUUGAUCCUGGCUCAGAGCGAACGCUGGCGGCAUGCUUAACACAUGCAAGUCGCACGGGCAGCAAUGUCAGUGGCGGACGGGUGAGUAACGCGUAGGUAUCUAUCCAUGGGUGGGGGACAACGGCUGGAAACGGCUGCUAAUACCGCAUGAUACCCGAGGGUCAAAGGCGCAAGUCGCCUGUGGAGGAGCCUGCGUACGAUUAGCUAGUUGGCGGGGUAAAGGCCCACCAAGGCGACGAUCGUUAGCUGGUCUGAGAGGAUGAUCAGCCACAUUGGGACUGAGACACGGCCCAAACUCCUACGGGAGGCAGCAGUGGGGAAUAUUGGACAAUGGGCGAAAGCCUGAUCCAGCAAUGCCGCGUGUGUGAAGAAGGUCUUCGGAUUGUAAAGCACUUUCGACAGGGACGAUGAUGACGGUACCUGUAGAAGAAGCCCCGGCUAACUUCGUGCCAGCAGCCGCGGUAAUACGAAGGGGGCUAGCGUUGCUCGGAAUGACUGGGCGUAAAGGGCGCGUAGGCGGAUGGCACAGUCAGAUGUGAAAUUCCCGGGCUUAACCUGGGGACUGCAUUUGAUACGUGUUAUCUAGAGUGAGGAAGAGGGUCGUGGAAUUCCCAGUGUAGAGGUGAAAUUCGUAGAUAUUGGGAAGAACACCGGUGGCGAAGGCGGCGACCUGGUCCUUUACUGACGCUGAGGCGCGAAAGCGUGGGGAGCAAACAGGAUUAGAUACCCUGGUAGUCCACGCUGUAAACGAUGUGUGCUGGA